UACAGAGGGGGCAAGCGUUGCUCGGAAUCACUGGGCGUAAAGGGUGCGUAGGCGGCCGCGCAAGUCUGGCGUGAAAGCCCCGGGCUCAGCCCGGGAAGGGCGCUCGAAACGGCGCGGCUCGAGUGCCGGAGGGGAGAGUGGAAUUCCUGGUGUAGCGGUGAAAUGCGUAGAUAUCGCUUGGAACGCCAAUGGUGAAAACAGGUUGCUGGGAGUGUGCUGACACUGAGACACGAAAGCCAGGGGAGCGAACGGG
rnacentral:rRNA from 1 species